UUUCAUACAACACCAGAGUACAACUUCUAAAUAGGUUUGAGACCUCCUUAUCCCAACAUGGCCUGGACUCCAAAACGUAAAAAUAGGAUCACAAAGUAACUGGAUCAUUCUACAGAAGAAUGGUACAGUGAAAUAAGUUGGACUCUGCAACGAAAGUGCAGCCCAGCUGAAGAAGCCUUUGCACCGCAGCAUCCCAGGAGAUUGGGGGUGUAUAAUAACAGCAGUAUUUUCCUAUACCUGCUGUAAUUUUAUCCUCUCCUGAGCAUCUGCUUCAGCUCUGGUCAGAGGCUGGCUGAGGUGACUCUUACUUAUGCUACUAAAUGUUUAAAGCAGAGGACAUAGUGGCAGCAUGUGCCAGCACGGACAUAUCAUCCAGAGCGAUGAGGAAGCACCAGGCUGGCUCUGUGUGCUUCACAUGCUUUUGGGCCCCCCCUCCCUGCACAGGGCUGGGAAAUCCACCGGGAGAUUCAGGUUGCGCUGUUUCUCACACACACAGCAGCUUACAAACCAAUGAGAGGGAAGAGAGGGCAAAGGCAGAAAGUCCUUCUGUUUCUUCUAGCACUGAUGUACUGCUGCCACCUCUCACUGACCAAUGCAGGGUACACCCCCACCCCCACUGGGAGCCUGCAGGCACCAUCAUGGGGCACUGAACGCGGCACCGUGGGACAUCACCCAUGGAGGCCAUCUUCCCUGAAAGGCAGCUGCACCUCGCUGCACCACUGAGCAUUCCCACAGCCCGCUAAGGGAAAGCAUUCAGUGCAUGGUAUUUGCAGCUGCAGAACUGGUGCUUGUUUAAUCCUGUUUAGCCUCAGCUGCCUGCUUUUAAACAGUUCCCAUCUCUGCCGGCAAUGAUGCUGACAACCCCUUGGCCCAGCACUGUAUCUGACCUCAGUGAACCCACACGAGGCUUGGGAAGGACAGGCAAGUGCAGGAAGGAGCUGCAGUCAGGUUCACUGAGGUUCACAGGUGUGUAGGAGCGCACUGAAGAGACUCCAUAGAAGAUCUGGGACACACCAACACGUGCUGCUACCGAGGCUGUGCAAUGCCAGUGCUGGAAGGAAGGUGGAAUCAGUGGCUGAGGCUGGUGGGGGCCUCUGUGUCCCUCUAGCCCAACCCCUGCCCAAGCAGGGACACCCAGAACAGGGUGCCCUGUCCAGGCAGCUUCUGAAGAUCUCCCCACAGAAGACCCCACAGCAUCUGGGCAGCCUGUGCCAGGAUUCAGUCACCCACACAGCAUAGAAGAGCUGCCUGAUGUUCAGGGGGAGCUUCCUGUGUUCCAGUUUGUGCCCUUCCCCUCUUGUCCUGGCACUGGGUACCACUGAACAAAGCCUGGCUCCAACCUCUCUGCACCCUCCCCUCAGGCAUUUACGGACAUUGAUAAGGUUCCCCAGAGCCUAAUUUUCUUUAAGUUAAGCAGUCCCAGCUCUUUUAGCCCCUCCUCACAGAAGAGAUGCUCCAGUCCCUUCAUCAUCUCGCUGCCUCUCCACUGGACUCUCUCCAGAGUGUCCAACUGUCUCUUGUACUGGGAGCCCAAAACUGGACACAGCACUCCAGGUUUGACCUCACCCACGCUGCUCAGAGUGGAAGGAGCAUCUCCCUCAACUCACUGCCAAUUCUUUGCCAAAUGCAGCCCAAUAAACCAUUAUGCUCCUUAGCAGCAAGAACAUACUUUAACUCAAACUUGGUGUCCACUAGGACCCUUGGCCCUGUUCUUGAGCUGGAUUCCCCUAGCAUAUCCCGGUGCCAGGUGCAGGACUCCACACUUCUCCUGGAUGAACUUCUCAAGGUUCCUGUCAGCCCACUUCUGCAGACAGCUGAGGACCCUCGGGAUAGCUGCACGGCCUUUGGCCUAUCAGCUGUUCGUCCCAGUUUUGUGUCAUCUGUAAACAGGCCAAGGGUAUCUUCUGCCAUAUCACCCUGAUCAUUAACUACUAUGUUAAAUAGGACUGGAAAAUGGCCCUCACUUCAGCAGCGAACCAGAAGUACCACAGCACUGUCUGCACAGAAAGCAACACAUCUAGAAAUGCUCUGAGGACUAACUGAUUUUUGAAUCCUCUGCAGGGCUCUGUAUGCAUAGAACACUUCUAAUUGAGCUGCCAUUGGCAUGGAUAGAAACACCAAAGUGCAUUCAGAGAUGGAACCAGAAGCAUGCCAUGUGUUGAAAACAGGGACUCCUUGUCUGUUUAAGGAUGGCCUGACACAGCAAGAGGGUGUCUGUUUCCAUACAAUAACAGCUGCAUCCCAAAUGAGGCCCCUGGCUGUCAAAAAUGAAGCAAUAGGUCACUUUAGUUUACAGAGGAAUGUGUACUCACUGCCUGCACCAGGUUUUGUUGCCAGGAGGUGCUUCCACUUAUAGUCAGGAGUUUUUCAGAACAUAAAUAUAGCUCUAUUAGACUUGGCAUGCGGUUCAGCUCAUCCUGUUUCCUCCCUGUGCGGUGGUCAGUAUCAGAUUCUUCAGGACCAAGAACCUCUGUGAGUUAUCAGGGAGAUCCCACACCCAACUCUGGUGCUAUAAAUCACAGGUUGAUCUUCGAGGCAUCUGUUCCAAGGGCAGCAGAUGCAAAAUGGGAAGGAAGAACCCGCUCCCUUCUCCAACUAGAUUAUCUGUCAAGGUGAGACCUUGAGAGGCAAUCACUUAAUAACCACCAGAUGGGCCCACGUUUGUUAAAUCAGUCAGCAGAUGAGAAAAAUAGGGACGAGAUCACCUGACCGCCCUUCUCAUCACCAUGCCAACCGAGUACUCCAAGUUUUCUUCCCUUGAACUUUUGCAGCCAAGGCCUUCCAUAUCCUAAUCGCACUUCUGGUUUGUUUCCUUAAAGAAAAAAAAAAAGAAAAUAGGCAAAAAGCCCCAUGAAGUACAGUUGAAGCACAAUUCUGCCAAGUUAAAACCUAAUGAACUUAAAUGAAGUCUAUCACUGAAAAGUGAAGCGCACGUGAAGUCCGUGACUAAGAGCAGUCCAUACUAGCCUGAAGCUGCCAACGAGCACAUUUUGAGAGUUUGCAGUGAGCAAAGAUAUCAAGGAAAUUGCAUGUGUCUCGCAUGUGAAAUGUGGGGAUCCUCCAGAGCGUCCCUCAGGCCCUAUCUGUGCUGCGAGCCAAACCCAGAUGAGUAUCUGCCUUCCCUCCAAGAGGGGAGGAACUCCUCCAUUCGGUAAAAGAAUGCUUGGAUCAUUAGUUUCCUGACCCCACCAAUCCCUGGGGGGUACAUGCACGAAUUUGGGAUUGCUCUAGCUGAGUAUAACUUUGGGAGUUCAUUCAACAAACUCUUGGCUCUGGAAGGAAUUGCUGACAUUUCUUUCUCUCCUCCUUUCCUCUCACAGCACAAUACAGCUCUUGCUUUUCUCUUUCACUGUGGUUCUCAAGUUCUCUGCUGGGGGCUGUGAAAUGCCUUCUGCUGGUACCCUGUGAACUUACCCAACCCAAUCCUCCUGCUCACCGACCCACUCAUCUGCUCCAGCACAGCCGUCCUGGCAGACCUUUGGUGACUUUCAUUCUGUAGCAUGUUUCCUCUGUGUAGUCUGAGAGCCCAGCUGCUCUAUGCGUGUACCUGUUGCAGAAAUCAGCGUGUGCCUGCUUGAGGUGCCAGGCAGCUCGUGACAGAUGUCAAGUCCAAGUAAAGCUCUUGGUGGGGACCAAGUGUGGUAAUAAAGCUGCACAACGCUAUUGAUUCAGCUGAAACUGCAAUAGCCUUUUCACCCAGCUUAGAAGUAAAACAAAGAUCUGGCAGCUCUGGAGAAGCAAUCAUCCUUUGAAACAGUCCAGGGAUAAAAGGUAGAUUAAAUCUAGUAGGCAAAACGAUGGCAAUUUUUCCUCUACCUUAUUAGCCCUGGUCAAACCCCAGAGAGCAGUGUAUUUAGAGAGUGCUCCUUUAAAGACAGGGGGAAAAGGCAAGUGCUACAUUUCAUCUGGUAAAUGAUUUCUGGAGUUGCAUUCCUGUGCAUUCAUGCACAAAUUGAGAGCGCUGCUGAGCCUCAAAUAUCCGCAGGCCUAACGGUGAGAUCCAAGACAACGUGUGACAAAUGGCAACGCGUACCCUCCAGCACCGGGAACGCCAGUGAUGGAAACGCAGCCACAUGCUGCAGUGUUUCAUCUCACUUUGGGCUGACAGGCGAGCGAUGUGAGCAAUGCAAGUCCCGAGUGUUUGUGUGCUGCCGGCUGCUGCACAGCCUUGGGGUGUGGAAUGUUCCCGUCAGCCUUUCCCAUCGCUGUCCUGCUGAGCGACUGCUGCUGUGGAGCCAUGGAUGCCCACUGCAGGCAGAGGUGACUCACCUGGGGGAUGUGAGGCAUCUUGUGCUGCCGUGUGGCAGCCGCUGAGCAGAAGUGCUGCAGCAUACAGCAGCAGACAGGAACUCUAAUCCCAGUGCUCUGCACACUUUGAUGCAGGGCCACAGCCCCUGCUCAGUGCACUGGAAAUUACCUCGGACAAAGUGAUUCCUCUCCAGCCUUUCCUGCAUGCAUGCGUGUCAACUUUACCUGCACCGUGCACAACCCAAUAGCUCACAGAGGUCUGUGAAAGCACAUGCAGCGUUUCACAGAAUCAUAGGAUUGUUUGAGUGGGAAGAGACUCUUAAAGGACACCUAGCCCAACACCCCUGCAACGAGCAGGGACACCUGAAGCUCAGUCAGGUGCUCAGCAUCCUGUCCAGCCUGACCUUCAGUGUCUCCAGGGGCGAGCUUCCACCACCUCUCUGGGCACCCUCCUCCAAUGUCCCUUAAUGUAAAAAAAUGCCUUCUUUCCUAAUAUCCAAUCUGAAACUCUUUUAGUUUGAAACCACUUCCCCUUGUCCUUUUACAGCAGUCCCUGCUAAAAAGUCUGUCCCUUUCCUUCCUAUAGCCUCCCUCUAUAUACUGAAAGGCUGCUACCAGGUCUUCCCAGAGCUUUCUCUUCUCCAGGCUGAACAGCCCCAGACAGCCCCCAGGUGCUGAUGGGUGAACUAAGGCCUGGUGGGUUUAACUGCACUGGGAGAGGAAAAAGCACCACCUACUGCGCAACUGCACUGAAGGCUCUGCUGUCACUCUUACGCAGUUUCUGGUACAACACAGUCCUGACCCAACUAUCCGGAUGAAUGAGCCGAUGCUAAGGAGCUGCUUGCUGGCCCGAGUGCACUUUCUUUUUGGCCAGCACUGCCUGUAACGAAGAAAUACUGGAAAUGAUGUGGAUGGGGAUAUCACCGAGUCAGCUUUUCACAGAACAAGGAAAAAAUGUAACUGGUUGCCUGCCCCUACCUGAGUGCGCUCCACUGGGAGAAACAGACAUUUCAGAACUCCCCGCAUGUCCUCCUUGCUGUAUUUUGGGAUCAGUGUUCAUGGAAAAAAAAAAAAAAAAAAAAUCCUUGCUGUUCUCCACUCAUGAGCUUCGGGCAUCGUGUCUGCAAAAACAAAACCAUCUGGAAGUAGGCAGGUUUUAAGGAGAAUUACCCGGAGAAGCGCAGAAGGAAAGCAGAGGGAUAAUGGAGGGAAAUGGGAAGGGAGGACUGGGAGGCGACAGCACAGCACAGCACAGGCUGCAAGGAGCACGGACAGAGCCACGGCGUGUGGCACAACCACAAAGCACAGAGAGUAGGAAUCCUCUGCGCACCAAUCCUCACUGAGCACCCAAGCAGUUAAGCCAAAAACCAGAGCCUUGCAGAACUGGGACUGUACCCUUUCAUAGCUGAAAAGGCCGUAGGGACAGCCUGUCCUGGCCAGCACAGAUCAAGGCAACAGCUUAAAAACACUGCUCUGAGCUGCUGAGCAGGUUUUCAUAGAAUCACAGGAUGGUUUGGGCUGGAGGGGACGUUAAGGAUCUCGCAGUUCCAACCCCCUGCCACGGGCAGGGCUGCCCCCCACCAGCCCAGGCUGCCCAGGGCCCAUCCAACCCGGCCUCGAGUGCCUCCAGGGAUGGGGCACCGCAGCUUCCCACUGGGGCAGCAGUGCCAGUGCCUCACCGCCCUGUGAGUAAAGACUUUCCCUCUAACAUCUAAUCUAAACCUCCUCUCUUUUAGUUUAAAGCCACCUCCUCCUUGCCCUAUCGCUGACUACCACAGUCAUUUUCCUAAUACGCUGCACUUUCCUCGCAGCCCCGACGACGAUCCCGCUUUCCACAGCUCAGUGCCGGGUGACCGCGGCUGCAGGACGGAAGCAGGAGCCCCCUUUCCGCGGCCUGACCCCGGCCCAGCAGCGCACUCCCAGACCCGCUCCGACGCGGAGAUCCCGGGGGGCGCGGGGGGCCGGG
ensembl:lncRNA